GUGGUUGUGGUUCAGUGGUAGAGCACUUGCCUAACAUGCGUGAAUCACUGGGUUCGAUCCCCGGAACCACA
rnacentral:tRNA from 1 species